rnacentral:rRNA from 1 species
AUGCAAGUCGAACGAUGAAGCCCUUCGGGGUGGAUUAGUGGCGAACGGGUGAGUAACACGUGGGCAAUCUGCCCUUCACUCUGGGACAAGCCCUGGAAACGGGGUCUAAUACCGGAUAACACUCUGUCCCGCAUGGGACGGGGUUGAAAGCUCCGGCGGUGAAGGAUGAGCCCGCGGCCUAUCAGCUUGUUGGUGGGGUAAUGGCCUACCAAGGCGACGACGGGUAGCCGGCCUGAGAGGGCGACCGGCCACACUGGGACUGAGACACGGCCCAGACUCCUACGGGAGGCAGCAGUGGGGAAUAUUGCACAAUGGGCGAAAGCCUGAUGCAGCGACGCCGCGUGAGGGAUGACGGCCUUCGGGUUGUAAACCUCUUUCAGCAGGGAAGAAGCGAAAGUGACGGUACCUUGCAGAAGAAGCGCCGGCUAACUACGUGCCAGCAGCCGCGGUAAUACGUAGGGCGCAAGCGUUGUCCGGAAUUAUUGGGCGUAAAGAGCUCGUAGGCGGCUUGUCACGUCGGAUGUGAAAGCCCGGGGCUUAACCCCGGGUCUGCAUUCGAUACGGGCUAGCUAGAGUGUGGUAGGGGAGAUCGGAAUUCCUGGUGUAGCGGUGAAAUGCGCAGAUAUCAGGAGGAACACCGGUGGCGAAGGCGGAUCUCUGGGCCAUUACUGACGCUGAGGAGCGAAAGCGUGGGGAGCGAACAGGAUUAGAUACCCUGGUAGUCCACGCCGUAAACGUUGGGAACUAGGUGUUGGCGACAUUCCACGUCGUCGGUGCCGCAGCUAACGCAUUAAGUUCCCCGCCUGGGGAGUACGGCCGCAAGGCUAAAACUCAAAGGAAUUGACGGGGGCCCGCACAAGCAGCGGAGCAUGUGGCUUAAUUCGACGCAACGCGAAGAACCUUACCAAGGCUUGACAUAUACCGGAAAGCAUCAGAGAUGGUGCCCCCCUUGUGGUCGGUAUACAGGUGGUGCAUGGCUGUCGYCAGCUCGUGUCGUGAGAUGUUGGGUUAAGUCCCGCAACGAGCGCAACCCUUGUUCUGUGUUGCCAGCAUGCCCUUCGGGGUGAUGGGGACUCACAGGAGACUGCCGGGGUCAACUCGGAGGAAGGUGGGGACGACGUCAAGUCAUCAUGCCCCUUAUGUCUUGGGCUGCACACGUGCUACAAUGGCCGGUACAAUGAGCUGCGAUGCCGCGAGGCGGAGCGAAUCUCAAAAAGCCGGUCUCAGUUCGGAUUGGGGUCUGCAACUCGACCCCAUGAAGUCGGAGUUGCUAGUAAUCGCAGAUCAGCAUUGCUGCGGUGAAUACGUUCCCGGGCCUUGUACACACCGCCCGUCACGUCACGAAAGUCGGUAACACCCGAAGCCGGUGGCCCAACCCCUUGUGGGAGGGAGCUGUCGAAGGUGGGACUGGCGAUUGGGACGAAGU